GGUGAUUAGCUCAGCUGGGAGAGCACCUCCCUUACAAGGAGGGGGGCGGCGGUUCGA
rnacentral:tRNA from 2 species